CAAUAUAAAGAGAAAAUAAUCUGACAUCUGAUACCAAGUAUGUUGUGAUAUUUUCAAAACCUGUAUUUCAAAACCAUGUAUUUUAGAGGGAAGAGGAGUGGAUGGGGCUUCCUUAAAUUUCUUCUGUACUCCUGUUCAAAAGAGACCAUCAACACCGCUACUAAGGUAGGGAACAAUUGAAAGCAUCUACAAAAUGUAGAGUUAUUUCUUCUGUCUUUCCUGUCCAGUGAUUAUGACAGAAACUACCUGAGGAACAGGGCUACAAGCAAAACCUCUGUGCUUGUCUUUUAACAAGCCCAAUGCACCUGUGGCACAGAAUUCUGCCUGUCCCUCCCCCAACAGAUGUUCAACGGGAGUAACUACCACCAACCUCAGAGGCCUGGUGUGAAGGUGACAUGGUAUGUAUCUUGAACACAUACCUCGCCCCUCUGACAGUAGACUGGCAUGCCACCGUAUGAGCACAGAACGGAUGCAAGAGCCACCAAGGAAGUGAACCGUGGAAGCAAGAUCAGCGAGUGCUGGUAACGCACUUACUCUAUGCCGAACUCCGUUCACACUACUUUCCGUGAAUUAAGUCAGUUAAUCCUCACAACAAAGCUAUGAAGCAGACACCAUUAUCCCCAUUUUACAGACCAAGAAGCUGAGGUCCAACUUGG